GAUGAACGCUGGCGGCGUGCCUAAUACAUGCAAGUCGAGCGAACAGACGAGGAGCUUGCUCCUCUGACGUUAGCGGCGGACGGGUGAGUACCACGUGGAUAACCUACCUAUAAGACUGGGAUAACUUCGGGAAACCGGAGCUAAUACCGGAUAAUAUAUUGAACUGCAUGGUUCAAUAGUGAAAGACGGUUUUGCUGUCACUUAUAGAUGGACCCGCGCCGCAUUAGCUAGUUGGUAAGGUAACGGCUUACCAAGGCAACGAUGCGUAGCCGACCUGAGAGGGUGAUCGGCCACACUGGAACUGAGACACGGUCCAGACUCCUACGGGAGGCAGCAGUAGGGAAUCUUCCGCAAUGGGCGAAAGCUUGACGGAGCAACGCCGCGUGAGUGAUGAAGGUCUUCGGAUCGUAAAACUCUGUUAUUAGGGAAGAACAAAUGUGUAAGUAACUGUGCACAUCUUGACGGUACCUAAUCAGAAAGCCACGGCUAACUACGUG
rnacentral:rRNA from 1 species